rnacentral:rRNA from 1 species
CCAGACUCCUACGGGAGGCAGCAGUGGGGAAUAUUGGACAAUGGGGGCAACCCUGAUCCAGCAAUUCUGUGUGCACGAAGAAGGUUUUCGGAUUGUAAAGUGCUUUCAGCAGGGAAGAAGAGAGUGACGGUACCUGCAGAAGAAGCGACGGCUAAAUACGUGCCAGCAGCCGCGGUAAUACGUAUGUCGCGAGCGUUAUCCGGAAUUAUUGGGCAUAAAGGGCAUCUAGGCGGCCUAACAAGUCAGGGGUGAAAACCUGCGGCUCAACCGCAGGCCUGCCUUUGAAACUGUGAGGCUGGAGUACCGGAGAGGUGGACGGAACUGCACGAGUAGAGGUGAAAUUCGUAGAUAUGUGCAGGAAUGCCGAUGAUGAAGAUAGUCCACUGGACGGAGACUGACGCUGAAGUGCGAAAGCCGGGGGAGCGAACAGGAUUAGAUACCCUGGUAGUCCCGGCCGUAAACGAUGAUUACUGGGUGUGGGCAGGAAGACUGUCUGUGCCGAAGCGAAUGCGAUAAGUAAUCCGCCUGGGGAGUACGGCCGCAAGGCUGAAACUCAAAGGAAUUGACGGGGCCCGCACAAG